ACAGAGGGGGCAAGCGUUGUUCGGAAUCACUGGGCUUAAAGGGCGCGUAGGCGGGCUGUCAAGUCUGGGGUGAAAUCCCACGGCUCAACCGUGGAACUGCCUUAGAUACUGACGGCCUCGAGGGAGAUAGGGGCGAGCGGAACUGUGAGUGGAGCGGUGAAAUGCGUUGAUAUUCACAGGAACUCCGGUGGCGAAGGCGGCUCGCUGGAUCUUUUCUGACGCUGAGGCGCGAAAGCUAGGGGAGCAAACGGGA
rnacentral:rRNA from 1 species